UGUGCCCUAAAAAAGAACACUGAAAAAGUAAAAGCAACGAAGCCAUUAGCAUGAAAGGAACUCGUGACUUGAUCAAUCUUCUUUCUUAGGUUUUCAAUUUUACUUUUGUUAAUUAUUACAAUGUUCUCCUCUAGCCCUUUUCCAGAGCUUCCCUUAUCCCCCAAUGACUUCAUCCCUCCCAAUUUGUUGUUUGAUGAUGAAAAAGAUUGUGUUUGCUUUAACUCCUACCAGAACAAGACCGACCCAUUUACCUCUGAUGGCUGUUUUUUUCAUUCUCCUCCAAUCAUAGAGAACAGCAAACAAAAUUUUGCUAGCCAGCAACAAAAGUUAUCUGAAGGACCAUUGUUAGAGUGUUGUGAAGAUCAUUAUGAACUUUUAGAUGCAGUAAAAUCUGUUAAGUGUAUGAAAAAAGCAGUCGAAUCAAAGAAAGACGUACGUAGUAAGAUCUGCACAGCUCGGGGUCUUAGAGAUCGGAGGGUGAGAUUGUCCAUUGACAUCUCAAGAAAGUUCUUUUGUCUACAAGACUUGUUAGGUUUUGACAAAGCAAGCAAAACUCUUGAUUGGCUCUUUACCAAAUCAAAGAAUGCAAUUAAGGAUUUGGUUGACGAAACAAAUCACUGCCCAUCUUCCAAUGUAAGUGAUGAAUCUAAUGUGAAAUUUCUCGAAUCUAUUAAGGCAGAUUCAGAUGAGGAUAAAGGGAAAAAGAAGUGUGUUGAUGGUAAAAAGAAGAAAGUGACACAGAAGUCGAUAGCUGGAUCUCAAGAGAAUCUUGCAAGAGAUCAGUCAAGGGUUAUGGCAAGAGCAAGAGCUAGAGAAAGAACAAGAGAGAAGAUGAACACUAAAAAGGUUAAUGAUGAGUUGAAGAUACUAGUUCCUGAUGAGUUUGACUGUCAAGAAACUAGAGCAUGCAUUUCAUGGGUAAUCGUGUAAUCAUGCAUUAAUUACUCAAAAACACUUGCUGUCACUACAAGGAUUUGACCGUACAGUUAAUGGAAUGGAGAUAUGCAUGAUUUUACUUUUUCUUUUAGCAGCAACCAAAAUCUACACCACAUGCCUAUAAUCGAACUUCCAAAGAAAAGCAGGAAAAGUUCACAGAGCAAGCUUGACACCUAGCAGCAAAGUUAUAACUGAUGAGCAAGAGUUAAUGGUGGAAAACAAGUGAUAUUGUAAGGAUGUAAGUCUACCAAUAUUGUUUGCUACUGAAUUAAUCAUAUUCGUUAUGUUUAUUAACACAUUUGACUUGUAGUAACGAUUCUUGAUUGAUAUGAACUGAAAAUUAUCUGAGUCAGUUUAUAUGAUGUAACAUUAUAGAUAUUAUUGGCCCUAAUAAUUCUUGACCCAAGUUUAGAUAAUGCAUGGAUUGAUUAUUUCUAAUCUUCAUCAUCAUUUAGUAAUAGUUAUGUGUCAAAGCUGUUAAC